UUGAAGUUUUCGGACGUUAUGGGUGAAUAGUUUUUAGUGACAAUGUUGAAUUAUUUAAAACUAUGUGAUUAUAAACAAUGGCACAAAUGAGUGAACUUAGAUUUUCAUUUUCGAAUCAGGUAUUUGUCGUGAUUGGAAUCCUGAGCACAUUGUUAAGCAAUGGCCUGGGUAUUGGCUUUCUACCCAUUAUUGUAUCGGACGAAAUAAAUGGAUCAAAUCACAAACUCCUUGAUGAACAAUCUCUAAGUUACUUAGAGGCUGCUGGAGAGCUGGCUUUUAUCGCAUCAAUCCUGAUUAUUCCUCUCACGAUGCAAAAAAAGGGAAGAAAAGUGGCAAAUAUUGUGACGAUAAUGCCAGCCUUUCUGGGCUGGGUCUUGAGUUUCAACGCGGGGAAAUUCUUCAGCCUUGUCAUCAUCAAUGCUUUACAUAACAUAUCACUGGGCGGAGCCGUCUCCAUCAGCAGUACAUUAAUGUCAGAAUUUUGCAGCUUCAAAUAUACAGGACUAUUUUUCAUGAUAGAAAUAGCGAUGAUAUCUCUCGGUAUAUUACUGUGUCACGUCUGUAAUGUAUAUUUUUGUUGUACUACAAUUUCGUUAUUCGGAAUAGCAUCUUCAGCAGUUGGUUUAAUUGUGACGCAAUUUUGGCUCGAAACUCCUUAUCCACUGACAAACAAAGGCCAGCUGAUCUCAAGAAAAGAAAAUCACAAGCUAAUAAAUCCAAAUGAAAACGUUUUCGACGAAUUGGGCAAUCUAUUUUCGAAAUGGAGAAUACAGCAGUUGAUACAUUCGAAGCCGAUAAGUAUUAAGUUGCGAAAAAAGAUAACUGAAUAUUUGAAAUCAUUAUUGAAAGCAGAUUCCCUUAAGCCGGUCUCAAUCGUGCUACUGAUGUCUAGUUUGGUUAGCUUUGGAGGAGAAGGGAUUACAAGUUAUUCCCUGAAAAACAUUUUCAAGACGAAUGGAAAGUAUAUUGGCACGAUCGUCCUGGACGUUUUGACGUUAAUUUGUUCUUUGACUGCUUGCGGUCUGCUCCAAAUAGUUAAAAGGCAAAGUUUGUUUUUGUUUUCGGGUGCGUUUUCCGUCGUUAUUUUGGGUUUGACAUCUCUAAUUUUGUUUUUGCAAACAGUGGAGUGGAUUUCCAGAGACUGCUUCUGGUUGUUUGGCUUAGUGACAGGCCUUGUUAUGUUUCUGUCGUUGGGCACAACUGUUAUACCUUUUUCGGUUUUGGGAGAAAUGUUUCCGUUUUCUUACAAAGGUAUAGGUAGUUCUUUGACGUGUACGUAUUUGUGGGCGUUAGGUAAUAGUGUUUUAAGAUCUGUGCCCUUAUUUUGUAACAUCCUAGGAUUUUACGGAAUAAUAUUGAUAACUAUUACAAUUUUAGUUUUAGUUUUAUUUGUUGUAAGUAAAUUGGUCACUGAAUCUGAUCUUAGAAUACAGUCGGAUUCAGAUCAACUUGCAAAAUUGCGUAAAGAUGAACUUUAUUGUAUAUCAAUAAAAGAAACACUCAAAUCUCAACAAAGUGAUACAAUUCAAGUAUUUAUUGAAGUAUAAAUAUUGUUAUUAAUAGUCCCGAUAAAUAACUUAAGUCUGUCUUUCGUGAUAAGUGUUUAAACGAUCUGAAUAAAAUAAUGUUUA